CGAUCUUGAUGAAGUGUUGGAGUAGCCUAGAAAUACCAUAUUUCCAGCAGUUGAGAAGCAGAGAAGCAUACGUAUAGGUAGGCGUUAUCAGCUGCAACAUAUAACAAUGGGAAAUGAGUGGCCAGGCAGCAGUGCUGCAGAAGACUGUUAUAUAAUGAUCCUGAGCUGAACAUGUGCCAGUGGUGUUGUGCUACUGCAACCAAGGCCAACAAUUUUGUGGGCAUAUGAAUGGGAAUAAGUAAAGCAUAUAACGUAAUUAUCUUAAUCACUACUGAUAAGGCCUCGGUGCUUUACCGUGCUGCUCAAGUAGGAUCCAAUUCAGCCAGAGAGCAUUAAGGAGAGGCUGUUGAGCCUAGUCAAAGGUCUAAAACAUGUGGGUGUUUAGGGGAAGACUGAAGGACUGUUUAGUCUAAAAACAGGAAGAUGGAAGGAAGACAUGGUAACAGCCUUUGUAUAGUAAUAGUUGACUUUGAAGAGGAAGUGAUUUAACUGAUGGUGGUUAAAUGCUAUUGGUAUGGAAAAAGAAUAAUAGACUUAAAUCAUAGCAGGAGUGAUUUAAUGUAAGCAUCAGGAAAAAAAAUUAAGUGGCAAGGAAAAGAGGAGCUCUGGGAUAGUUUGCUUUGUGGGAAUUCAUAGAAUCUUCAGCCUUCCAGAAGUUUAAAAAUAGGUCAGACAUCAGCAGACAUAGCAUUGGUCAGGGAUGGAUGAAGUGAUCUAUUAAAUUACCUGUUAGCCCUGCUCCUUGAGUGAUUUGUGUGGAUGUGAAAAUGAUGAGGGUAAUAACUAUACAUAGAAAAAGUAUUUUGGACGUCUCCAGAAUUUCAGAGUAUGCAAAAUAAUAAUUCAGGAAUUUACUGCAUGCCUUCUGUAUUUACAUCAGAUUGAAGCAAUUAAACUUUUUCUAAUUUUGCUCAUGUCAGUAUUGAUUGAAAUUAACUACUGUCUGAUGGCUUUGUGGAUGGUCUUUGUGAAAUAAGCUGAUAGAUGCAGUCAGAUCCCUGUGAUAGCAUACAAAACUUAAUUAUAGCCAUGUGAAAGGUCAGUCUUCAGUCUCGUUAUAGCGAAUGGAAAAUAGAAUAGAUAUUAUCUAGAGUGAAGAAUCACCCUCCCAGGAUACCUCUGUCUCUCUUUGUACCUAUCCUGUAGCAACUACAUAUUGCAGAGGUAUGCUUGGUCUUUCUUUUUCUCAGUCUGUGAUAGUAAAGGUUUGGUUUUUGGAAAGCUGAGGUACAUGGAUUUCAUAGAGAACUAUCUGGAUAAAAUAUAAUUGACAGGAAAUCAGAGUAGAAAAUCCAGUGGUCUUUCCUGAGCCACAAUUCUGGGAAGCCCAUUAAAUGCGUGAUUUAUGAAACACUCAUAAACAAAUAAUAGUUGCUAUCAAUGCAUAACAAGCGUGAGCAAUAUGUGUCAGAGGUAGUUAUAUACCAGGCUUAGGUAAGUCACUUAUUAAUCUACAGGAUUCCUACUCGUUAAGUCUUUAACAAUCCUCUGAAUUAUUUACACUGUAUCAGUGUGCAUAACAGACAAUACAGCACUUUUGGUGAGGGAACCUGCUACAUAAUAUCCCAAUGAAGAUUUUAAAAUGCUAAGCUACUGGACAAUGAAAGGCAAGAUGAAGGAAGUUCUGGCAGCUUACCAUGCCCCUGGCUCUGCAGAGUUAAGCGAGACGUGCGCCCAUGUUCUAGCAUGCAUCACAUCGCCUCUCGGGUCUGAAGUGCCAGAAGGAUCCCAGCGCUGCAGACUGAGACGGCUCUGAGCACCUCAGUACCCCGUUUCUGACAGAACCCAGGGAUGGCAAACUUACAUACCAGUAUUACCUGUCUGGCGCAGGUUUAAUUUUAUAAAUUAAAACCAUAAACUCUAUGAGUUUCUAGACCAUAUUUGUGCUGUUGAGGAUGAUCUACUCAGAUGAACAGUUUUGCAUCCAUCGGAGAGAAAGGUUCUUCUGCUGGACCAGAAGGCAACAUUAUUGUAACUAAUACCAUUUGUAGCAUCUAGUGCAAAUAAUUGAAGAACAGGUUGCAAGAAAAUCCUCUAGGGAAUAAGACAUGCUUUGUUUUGGUCUUCAGAUUUUAAAAAAAUGUUGUUUUUUUAAAGGUAACCACUUUUACAUAACACUAUGUGUGCAGUCUAUGUGCAGCUCUUCACUGUGACUAUCUAUAUUCCAGAGAUUUUUAAUUACUUGUCAGGCACCUGAACCUUUUUUAGAUUUGUGAUGGAUCCUUAAAUUAUGUAUCCUUAAGUAUCAUGGAAAACUAGAAAGGAAAAGUUUCAGGGCUUUUAUUUGACUAAAUGUCUCCACUUAGUCCCUGUUAGUGUCUUGAAUGGUGGAGGAAAGGGUGGGAAGUAGGAAAACAAUACAAGAAAAAAACAACAAUACAUUGUGGGCUUGGUGUUUGGUUUGGCAUAUCAGAAUAUGUUUGAUCAAAUAACUAAGGAGAGAGAAACAGCUAACUUACCUGAGCCCUCACAUGAAAGGUCAGUAUUUUGGGGGGCAGUAUUUGCUAAUUUUGUCUCCAAAAUAGCUAUAGAAAAGAGGGAAUAUAUAUUAAGCCCCAACAUAUGUGAAAAGGACAUACUUGCCAUUCCUCUAUUUAUUUUUGCUCUUUCAAAAAUCAAAGUGCCAGUUAUUUGGAAUGCUGUAGUCUGUGGUCUCUUUAAAUUUGUUUGGUGAGAUCCUUUCAGCAAGAUCAUUCCCAUUACGGUGUAACUGCAUGGUGACCACAGCUUUGGGCCUGUAUAAUAAAGAUCUGAAUUCAAAUUUUUGUUUCUGAUCAUUUUCUCUACUUUUAUGUCAUAUCUGCAAAGUGUUGGAUUGGAAUCAUACUUACUGCUGAUUGCUGCUUAGAAGAUUUGGCAAAAAAAAAUUCAGAGAUGGAAGUGUUUAUAUGGUAGGACCCUGAUUCUCCUUUGUAUUGUUA
ensembl:lncRNA